GUCGAGAAUCUUUCACAAUGGGGGCAACCCUGAUGGAGCGACGCCGCGUGGAGGAUAAGGUCUUCGGAUUGUAAACUCCUGUCAUGCGUGAACAAGGUUGCUUGGUUAAUACCUGGGCAAAUUGAUGGUAACGCAAGAGGAAGAGACGGCUAACUCUGUGCCAGCAGCCGCGGUAAUACAGAGGUCUCAAGCGUUGUUCGGAAUAACUGGGCGUAAAGGGUGCGUAGGUGGCGUGGUAAGUCAGAUGUGAAAGCCCGGGGCUCAACCUCGGAACUGCAUCCGAUACUGCCAUGCUAGAGUACUGGAGAGGUGACUAGAAUUCUCGGUGUAGCAGUGAAAUGCGUAGAUAUCGAGAGGAAUACCAAAGGCGUAGGCAGGUCACUGGACAGUUACUGACACUGAGGCACGAAGGCCAGGGGAGCGAACGGGAUUAGAUACCCUUGUAGUCC
rnacentral:rRNA from 1 species